GCCGGAAGUUUGGUGUUUGUGCCGCGGGGCGGCGUCGGCCGCCGCAGAAGCAGCUGAGCGUCUCCGGGUACCCGGAUGUGAGGCGACCUGCGGGCUGCAGGAGAACCCCCGGCCGCGCAGCAGGAAGGUGCUGUAUAAUGUGUUAAGAAGAGGCUAUAAGGAAUGGUUUUAUCAGAUUUUCUUGAGUUAUGGUGGCUGAAACAUCAGUUCUAUCUUGUGGGAAAAGAACUAAAUGGCAGCACAAAAGGAAAUCUAUAUUAAUAGAGUACUUUACUAAGCGAAGGAGAUUAAAUAGAAGCCACAAACCAACAAACUUGGCAAGCAAGGAAAGAAACCUGUUAGCCAUAAGACAUGUUACAAAUUCAUCAACAUCCAGUAGCUGUAGACUUCAGAAGAAAAAACUUUUCAGAAAUUUUGUCAAAGCAGACAGGUCAGUGAUAAAUAACUCCUCUAGUAAUAGGGUUAGGCCGGAAACUAAUCAUAAUUAAAACAAAUUGGAUCUGAAUGAAGUUUAUUUUCAUUAAAAAAAUAAAAACUUCUGAAAACAUUAAAUUAGAAUUUUCUGCAGAUUUUCAUUUCCCUAUCCAGCAGAAAGCAAGUAUCUUUCAACAUUCAUGCCAGCUUUUCUCAUGUCUUAGAAAUUGCCAAGAGCAAAAUUACUUGAAACAACCUGGUAUUUUUGUUGGAAAUGUACAUCAGUAUAAGUUAAAGUUGAUUUUUAAGAUCUACUCCUUAGUGACAAUACUAAGUACUUAGCAUCUGUACCUACCUGGACACAGUCCUCAAAAACUCCUCAGAAAGAAAGACAUUACUCAGGAAUAAUGUCCAUUCAGGAGAAAUC
rnacentral:lncRNA from 1 species